UCGGUUCCGACUCUCGUCGUCGCCUACCCUACCCAAGAGCCACACGCAGGCGCCUUCGAACCCUAGUCACCCGCGCCGCCCCUGCGCUCCCAGGCCGCCUCCUGCCCCCCGGCGGCGGCUGCGGCAUCGGCGUCAGCGAAGAUGUCGGGCGGCUUCUUCCGGGGGACGUCCGCUGACCAGGACACGCGCUUCUCCAACAAGCAGGCGAAGCUGCUCAAGACGCAGAAGUUCGCACCUGGGCUUGACCACCUGGUGGACAUGUCAAAGGUCAAGAUGGAUGUGAUGAAGCCCUGGAUCGCCAAGCGGGUCACUGAGCUCCUCGGGUUCGAGGACGAAGUGCUCAUCAACUUCAUCUAUGGGCUCCUCGAAGAGAAGGAGGCAGAUGGGAAGAAGAUUCAGAUCCAGCUGACAGGGUUCAUGGAGAAGAACACAGUGAAGUUCAUGAAAGAGCUCUGGAGCCUCCUCCUAAGUGCGCAACAGAAUGCCAGUGGGGUACCUCAACAGUUUCUAGAUGCAAAGGAGGCUGAAAUACAGCAGAAAAAGGCUGAGGAUGAUAGAAUUGCACAGGAGAUCCAAAAGAAGCGGGAGAAAGAGGGAAGAGACUUAGAACUGGAGAAACAGAAAAGGAUGGAUGGGGAUGCUGGCAUCUCAAGAUCCUCUGGUGAUCCAACUGGCUCUGCUAUAAAUAAUACAAUUGUCAAUGCUGAGGAAGACAUGGAAUUGGACUUCAAGCGCAGCUCAAGAACAAAGAACCGGGGAAGUCGCAGAUCCAGGAGCAUAUCUUCGUCGCCUCGUGGUAGGCGAAGAUCUAUUUCUCCCAGAAAGCGUUCUCGAUCUCCUUCUAGGCGUUCCCGCUCUAUUGAUAGACAGCGUGGAUUAUCACGGCGUUCAACUUCACCUAGACGCUCUGCUUCUCCCCGAAGGCAUUCUCCAAGAAGGAGAUCACCUUAUUCAAGGAGAGGGUCACCUUCAUUGCCAAGGUAUCCAUCCCCAUCUUCACGCUGGAGAUCUCCUCUUCGCAGAAAAUCACCAUCGUCUGGGUCACGAAGGUCACCUUCUCCUCGCCAUCGUCGUUCGCCAGCUCGUGCGUCAAGGAGGUCACCAUCUCCUGCACGUCGAAGGUCUCCUGUCCGACGCAGGUUUUCACCAGGUAGACAUCGAUCUCCAUCUCCAGCAAGGCGUAGGCCAAGAUCCCCAUCUCCGGGAAGGCGCAAGCCACGGUCCCCAUCCCUAGGAAGGCGCAGACCACGGUCGCCAUCUCCAGGAAGGCACAGGCCACGGUCCCCAUCUCCAGGAAUGCGCAGGCCACGGUCCCCAUCUCCUGGAAGCCACAUGCCACGCUCCCCGUCUCCUGGAAGACGUAGGCCAUGGUCACGAUCUCCAGUAAAACGUCGGUCCCCAUCUCCAAAACGCCGGAGGAGGUCCCCAUCACCAAGAACUCGUUAUGCAAAUCGACGUCCGUCUCCACAGCGGAGAAGGAGUAUCAGUCUGUACAGUAGCAAAAGUCCUAAUCGUUCUCGCCGGAGUUUGAGUAUAGAGGCCAAGAGAGGAAUGAAUGGUACCCCCGCCAUUAAAGUCAGAGUUGUGCCUGAAAGGGACCAAGAACAAAGAUCAGAUGAUGAUAAUGACAGGGAUGGUGCAAGGAUUGGUGAUCAUCGCUCCCCAGAUUCUGAACAUAGGUUGUUAAAAUCCUUGAGGUCGCCCAACAAUGAAGAAAGAAACUCCACACGUGAUAGCUCUUUCAGGAGCCCAGGGAAACAAUUACCUACUCAGGACAGCACAGAUACAAGUGGAGAUGAGGAGGAAGGUAGUCGUGCUAGAGAGAAUGCACGGAAAGCAAAUUCAGCACGUAGGAAAACUAAGGAUUCAGCAGAUCGGCGACUGAGCAAAGUUGGAGCUCGUGCCUCAAGCCCUGGGGAAAAAUCACCAUUCAUGUUACAAAGUGGCAAGGGUGUCCAGAAAAAACACCCUGAUCAACUGUCAGAAUCAUCAGAAGAUGAGCUUGUUGGUAGAAGAUUAAAGUGCAGAACAGAUUCUCCUGAUGAGCGUUCCCCACCAAGAAUUGAAAAGGAUGACUUGCAUUUGAAGGACGGGAGGAAAAGUGAGCAUGCCAUGAGGGGUUCAUGUGAUGAAUCUGUUGAUGCUAUCGAGGCAAAGAAAUUUAUUUCUGAAGUCAUUGGGGACUCCCAAUCAGAAGAUGGAAGUCCUGUCAAAAAGCCCAAGAAAAGAACAGAUAUUAAAAGCCACAUUGAUUCUGAUAGUUCAGGGUCUGAAGAACCUGACAAACAUAGAUCCCAUUCUGAGAAGCGAAGGCACAAGAAGGCCCAUAAGCAUAAGAGACGUUAUGAUGAUAGUUCUGAGUCUGAUACCGAGCCAGAUGGCAAAGAGGCAAAGAGGAGGAAGGAAGAAAAGAGACUGAGAAAAGAAGAAAGACGUCGAAGACGUGAAGAGCGGCAUCGCAGAAGGGCAGAACGCCAUGCCAGCAAACAAAAAAUGAAGCAGACUGAUACUGUUGCACUGCCUCCAGAUUCUGAGAAGCAUCGGGAUUCUGAUUCAGAUGUUGAUGUUAGGAAAAGAGGUUCCCCUGCUGGCAGAGAAGAGUCUGAUCAGAAGAAACUUGAAAUUGAGCUUCGUGAGAAGGCCCUUGAGUCUCUUAGAGCAAAGAAAGCCAUCAACAACUAGCCUGAGGAAUUUCUUUCGACGCAUUUGAGUUUCUAUUUUCAAGUGCUUAUCUCAAUGUUAUGGAAGUGUGCUUAUAUGAUGCCUAUUUAAUGUUCUGUAUGUUUAUGUGGCAGUUGAUCUCAGGAUCCUGAUCUGUUUCCUUGAUGCAGCCGCGUUCAGGCUUAGCUGCCAGUUAUCUGAUUAGCACCAUGUGCACAGGCUUUUUAUGUUCCUCAGGAUGAUAUGAUCUGCGCCUCAACAAAAACAAGUUGGUAACAUUAUUGAUUGUAAAGUCUGCUAAAGCACUCCUUUCCAGUUGUUUGGUCAGUGCUGCUUAGUUUCAGGUUUGUGCAGUAGCCAAUAUAUUCGAUUACUAUGUUCUGCUCAGGCAAGUAAAUAUUGGAUGCCAUAGCCGCUGUCACUUUUCAGGAAGUAACUUUUAACGUUGACUGAAGGGAAAGUGAAAAAUAAAACUAGAAUGACAAAUUUUUAUGCUUGGAAUAUGGAACCACCAAACCAGCUGAUGAUUUAAGUUACAAACAGUAUCUGGAGAAAUCAUGUAUGUUCCACAUGGGAUGAAUUGCAACAGCCCAUAGCAUCAGAGAAAUUUAAUUGUUUCCAUGAUUAGUUGACCAACUUAGGCUAUUACUUGCUGUCUGAUGAUGCAUGAGUGCAUGACCAUGUGUGCUCUAUUGAAAAGAAAAUAAAACAGGGGGGAACUUCCUGUUCUCCUUGUGUUGAAUGGUGCCCUGAGUUUAUAGAAUCUUUAUUGACUGGUAAUAUGUUUUUUUUUCUUCCUUUUUUCCUUUUCCUUUGAGUGUUUGAGAUAUAUUCAUCUUCAUGAUGGAUCUAGUGAAGUUUUUGUAUACCCAGUUAAGAGAAUUUGAGAUAUUAUAGGUUUCUAAAUUUUAAAUGUCGGUCUGCGUAUUUCUAAAGAAUUCAAUAAAACUGAGGGGAAUAGGUAUGGUUAACUGACAACAUGUAUAGGGUGCUAGUGCUGUUUCUCUUUUAAGAGGUAGAGCUUCAGAGUCGCCCAAUUCAAUACUAGUAUAUAUGAUCCUUUCAUGCAUUUGGUAGACCAUGUGUAAUCAAAUCAUGAUCUCAUCUGCUCACAAUCCUUUAUGUUGGGUAGCAAGCACUUUUGUUCCCUUCUCAGCAUCCUACCGACAUAGCACACUUAGAAUACAAGUGUCUUGUGUGGACAUACUAAUCAAGCUAGAUUUUAAAUCUAGCAUUUAUGAAGAUGCUAUGCUUAGUUAUAUACUUGUGUUGCUGUGACCUAAGUUUUUUAUUUUAAAAAAAUCUUGGGGGUUGUGUUAGAAAAUAUCAACUUGCUCUGAUUACUCGUGGAUUCAGAUUGCAACAUUUUGUUGUCUGAAUUUUUUAGAGCAAAAGAAUGCAGCUAAUUUGAACGCAGGCUCUUGAAAAUUCUGGCGUACUGUCAUGUUAACUCCCAGGAGGGAGCGCGUGGAACUCAGUUCCAGCCAAGUUGCCAGUGGGUAGUGAGUACUAAAUUGACGGCUACUGGUUAGUUGCCAACAGUAGCAACCAGUGGAAUCUGAGUUCUUGAUAAAGUUGUAUAUCCCUAAUGAAAACGGCUACAUGGCGUCAUAUGAAUUACAUGUUAACAUUCAAUUUAAUUUGCAAUGCAAUUUAAUGUGGAAUCCUUCAUUUUU